ACACGUCGUGAUUAACAUGGAUAAUAAGGAAAUGGAUUUCGCGCAGUUACUGCAUCAUGCAUUGACUGCUUCCGACCGUCCAAUCAGAAUGAACUGAGAUUAAAUACUAUAUAAAAUUAAUUAAAUACAAUGCCUAAAUUAGAACUCUUGGAUUGCUUAUCAACAGCUGAGAUCAUCUCAUCUACUGCAUGUAACUGCAUGAAACAGUUAUAGCAGGUGAUCCAGGCCCAGAUAAGCACUAUUUAGAUCAAAUAUCUAGUCCAUGUGGGAUCUCAAAACACUCUUCCACGUCCAAGACGGUGAAAGUGCUAUAGGCUGCAAUGAGGGAAGCCCAAGGUGGCUGCGCUGAAGGAAGCAAAUGUUUCCAACAACCCCCCACACACAAGACUAGACAUCAGGAGCGCAAAUAAGUACAAUGGAAAGAUAUUCCAUUUAAAUUUCAAGCCCCAAAGGUUAGAUAUGAAGAGGCUCAUCAUGAUAAUAAAUUAAACUAAAUGAACUUUUACUUGAGAAAAUACAACAUUGAUUCAAUUAAUGCGCAUGUAAUAAUGGUAGAC
rnacentral:lncRNA from 1 species